GCCUGGGUGGCUCAGUUGGUUAAGUGUCAGACUUAGGUCAUGAUCUCACAGUUCGUGGGUUCAAGCCCCACAUCAGGCU
rnacentral:tRNA from 1 species